rnacentral:rRNA from 1 species
UACGUAGGGUGCAAGCGUUAAUCGGAAUUACUGGGCGUAAAGCGUGCGCAGGCGGUUUUGUAAGUCAGAUGUGAAAUCCCCGGGCUUAACCUGGGAACUGCGUUUGAAACUACAAGGCUAGAGUGUGGCAGAGGGGGGUGGAAUUCCACGUGUAGCAGUGAAAUGCGUAGAGAUGUGGAGGAAUACCGAUGGCGAAGGCAGCCCCCUGGGAUGAUACUGACGCUCAUGCACGAAAGCGUGGGGAGCAAACAGG